CCUACGGGAGGCAGCAGUGAGGAAUAUUGGUCAAUGGACGAGAGUCUGAACCAGCCAAGUAGCGUGAAGGAUGACUGCCCUAUGGGUUGUAAACUUCUUUUGUACAGGAAUAAAACCAGGCACGUGUGCCUUUCUGCAAGUACUUUACGAAUAAGGAUCGGCUAACUCCGUGCCAGCAGCCGCGGUAAUACGGAGGAUCCAAGCGUUAUCCGGAUUUAUUGGGUUUAAAGGGAGCGUAGAUGGUCUGAUAAGUUAGUGGUGAAAGUUUGCGGCUCAACUGUAGAAUUGCAAUUGAUACUGGCAGUCUUGAGAGUAGUUGAGGUAGGCGGAAUGCAUGGUGUAGCGGUGAAAUGCUUAGAGAUCACGCAGAACCCCGAUUGCGAAGGCAGCUUACCAAGCUGUGACUGACAUUGAUGCACGAAAGUGUGGGGAUCAAACAGGAUUAGAUACCCGAGUAGUC
rnacentral:rRNA from 1 species